rnacentral:misc_RNA from 1 species
UUUCCGUAGGUGAACCUGCGGAAGGAUCAUUAAAGUUAUAGUCCCCCGGCCCUCUGGGCUGGGGUCUUCUAUACCACCCUUUGUUUAUUACACCUUUGUUGCUUUGGCAGGCCUGCCCUCGGGCUGCCGGCUCCGGCCGGCUCGCGUCUGCCAGAGGACCUAAACUCUGUUUGUAUAUGAAGUCUGAGUACUAUAUAAUAGUUAAAACUUUCAACAACGGAUCUCUCGGUUCUG